AUUGAACGCUGGCGGCAGGCCUAACACAUGCAAGUCGAGCGGAUGAAGGGAGCUUGCUCCUGGAUUCAGCGGCGGACGGGUGAGUAAUGCCUAGGAAUCUGCCUGGUAGUGGGGGAUAACGUCCGGAAACGGGCGCUAAUACCGCAUACGUCCUGAGGGAGAAAGUUGGGGAUCUUCGGACCUCACGCUAUCAGAUGAGCCUAGGUCGGAUUAGCUAGUUGGUGGGGUAAAGGCCUACCAAGGCGACGAUCCGUAACUGGUCUGAGAGGAUGAUCAGUCACACUGGAACUGAGACACGGUCCAGACUCCAACGGGAGGCAGCAGUGGGGAAUAUUGGACAAUGGGCGAAAGCCUGAUCCAGCCAUGCCGCGUGUGUGAAGAAGGUCUUCGGAUUGUAAAGCACUUUAAGUUGGGAGGAAGGGCAGUAAGUUAAUACCUUGCUGUUUUGACGUUACCAACAGAAUAAGCACCGGCUAACUUCGUG
rnacentral:rRNA from 1 species